rnacentral:piRNA from 1 species
UGGUCGAUGAGCACGUCCGCACGUGACGGG